CUUGGAACAAUACAGAGAAGAUUUAAGUUUGGAACAAUACAGAGAAGAUUAGCAUGGUCCCCGCAAGGGAUGACAUACAGAUUAAUGAAACAUUCCAUAUUUUU